GCACCUAAUCUUUCCCAUUCCUUGCUGUGCAGUGUGAGCCUGGGGACGCAUGGUGCUGACAGAAAAGCAGAGUAAAUCCAGACAAGUGGUUCUUCAUUGACUAAUUGUCUCUACACCUCUGCAACAGU
rnacentral:snoRNA from 7 species